AAGAAUGUUUUUAUUAUUUUAUUUAUUUAUAUUAUAAUUAAUAGAAAUAACUUUAUUUUGAGUAUAUUUUAUUGAAAUAAUGUUUUAUAUUAUAGUUAAUAGUACUGUAAAGGAUGAAUAUGGUUUUAUUUAAAAGUAAUUAUAAUUUAAUGUACCUUUUGUAUCAGGGUUGAUUAAAUUAUUAUAUUUAUUAUAUAUUUCCCGAAAUUAGGAGAGUUAUGAUUGAAGUGUUAUUUAAUGUGUCAAAAUUAUUGAUAAUUUAAUUAUAGUGAUGAAAUGUCAUUCGUUCUUAAAUAUCUGGUUUUCUUGGAAUUAAAUUUAAUUUAGGAUUUUAAAUGUAUAAAUAAGUAUUAUAUUUUAUUUAUUAUUAAGUUCUAAUAUUUUUGGGGAUAAGCUCAGGAAUAAUUAUAUAAGUAUAAUUAUUAAUUAAAAUUUAGUAGGCUUGAAGUCAGCCAUCAUUUAUUUCGUUAUAGAUAGUUUUUUUUAAGUAUUUAUUUAAUUUUCUUUAUUUGUUUACUUGAAUGACAUAAUUAAUUAAUAAUUAUGUGUAAUAAUGAUUAAAUUAGUAUUUUAGAUAAUUAAAUUAUAGUAACUCGGCAAAUUUAAUAUUCGCCUGUUUAACAAAAACAUGUCUUUUUGUUUAUUUAUUUAAGGUCUGACCUGCCCAAUGAGGAAUUGAAUGGCCGCAGUAUUUUAACUGUGCUAAGGUAGCAUAAUCAUUUGUCUUUUAAUUGAGGGCUGGAAUGAAAGGUUGGACGAGAUAUUAACUUUCUUUAAUUUAAUUUUAAGAAUUUAAUUUUUUAGUUAAAAAGCUAAAAUUUAUUUGUUGGACGAGAAGACCCUAUAGAUCUUUAUAAUUUUAUGUUUUAAUAGUGUAGGGAAUAUUUUUUUAAAGCAAAAUAAUUAUUUUGUUGGGGUGACUGUAGAAUUUAAUUAACUUCUAUUUAUUGGAAUCAUUUAUUAAUGUUUUAUUGAUCCAUAUAUUUAUGAUUAAAAGAUUAAGUUACCUUAGGGAUAACAGCGUAAUUUUUUCGGAGAGUUCAUAUUGAUGAAGAAGUUUGCGACCUCGAUGUUGGAUUAAAAUAAGUUAUAGAUGCAGGAGUUUAUUUACUAGGUCUGUUCGACCUUUAAAUUUUUACAUGAUCUGAGUUCAGACCGGCGUAAGCCAGGUCAGUUUCUAUCCUCAAUUUAUGUUUACAUUUUAGUACGAAAGGACCAUAUGUAUAAAAUAAUUUUUAAUUUUUGAUUAAUAUU
rnacentral:rRNA from 1 species